UACGAAGGGGGCUAGCGUUGUUCGGAUUUAUUGGGCGUAAGAGCUCGUAGGCGGCUUGUCGCGUCGACUGUGAAAACCCGAGGCUCAACUUCGGGCUUGCAGUCGAUACGGGCAGGCUAGAGUUCGGUAGGGGAGACUGGAAUUCCUGGUGUAGCGGUGAAAUGCGCAGAUAUCAGGAGGAACACCGAUGGCGAAGGCAGGUCUCUGGGCCGAUACUGACGCUGAGGAGCGAAAGCAUGGGUAGCGAACAGG
rnacentral:rRNA from 1 species